rnacentral:rRNA from 1 species
UACGGAGGAUGCAAGCGUUAUCCGGAAUGAUUGGGCGUAAAGCGUCCGCAGGUGGCUGUGUAAGUCUGCUGUUAAAGAGUGAGGCUCAACCUCAUAAAGGCAGUGGAAACUACAUGGCUAGAGUGCGUUCGGGGCAGAGGGAAUUCCUGGUGUAGCGGCGAAAUGCGUAGAGAUCAGGAAGAACACCGGUGGCGAAAGCGCUCUGCUAGGCCGCAACUGACACUGAGGGACGAAAGCUAGGGGAGCGAAUGGG